GGAGUCUUAUGAUGUUCUGACAACUGCCUACAUUGCCAGAUUGUCUCACUUGUGAAUGAGAAAAUGAAAGUUCUGAAGACCCC
rnacentral:snoRNA from 1 species